rnacentral:rRNA from 1 species
GAUAAACGCUGGCGGCGUGCCUAACACAUGCAAGUCGAGCGGCAGCGCGGGGUGCUUGCACCCUGUCGGCGAGCGGCGGACGGCUGAGUAACGCGUGGGAACGUGCCCCAAAGUGAGGAAUAACUGCCCGAAAGGGUAGCUAAUACCGCAUAUUAUCUUCGGAUCAAAGGAUUUAUCCGCUUUGGGAGCGGCUCGCGUCGGAUUAGGUAGUUGGUGGGGUAAUGGCUCACCAAGCCGACGAUCCGUAGCUGGACUGCGAGGAUGACCAGCCAGACUGGAACUGAGACACGGUCCAGACUCCUACGGGAGGCAGCAGUGAGGAAUCUUCCACAAUGGGCGAAAGCCUGAUGGAGCAACGCCGCGUGCAGGACGAAGGCCUUCGGGUUGUAAACUGCUUUUAUAAGUGAGGAAUAUGACGGUAACUUAUGAAUAAGGAUCGGCUAACUACGUG